rfam:Homo sapiens chromosome 12, GRCh38 reference primary assembly.
GCCAGGCACAGUGGUGCACACCUGUAGUCCCAGGUACUCAGGAAGCUGAGGCAGGAAGAUCACUUGAGCCCAAGAGUUCUUGGCUGUAGUGUGCUACACUGAUUGGGUGUCUGCACUAAGUUUGGCAUCAAUAUGGUGACCUCCUGGCAAAGAGGACCACCAGGUUGCUUAAAGAGGUGUGAACUGGCCCAGGUCAGAAACAGCAGGUCAAAAUUCCCAUGCUAAUCAGUAGAGGGAUUGCACCUGUGAAUGGCCACUGCACUCCAGCCUGCGCAAUAUAGCAAGACUCUUUUUUUA